rnacentral:sRNA from 1 species
GGUAGUUGAGGAGUUGCUGGCCAAAGGGGCCUGUGUACUUGCUGUAGAUGAAAAUGGUAUUGGAAUUAGCAGCUCAUGCCUAUUUCUCAGAAGUAAGCAGCCAUACUGAUAUCAUUAGCUAACUCUUAUUAGUUUUGAUUUUGCAGCCCCAUGUAUCCUAGCAUGUACCCUGCUGUGUCCCCCACC